GAGAGCCAUAACAGAGGCCCGAGAGUCCAAGGAUUCCAAGUGGGGCACCAAACAACGUGACUCGGAUGCUUCUUUGGGUGCGUUGUCCAACGCAUGGUCGAAAUCGGCUUCGGAUUCUGCAAGCACCACUGAAACGGCGUCGCCUGGGGUGUACUGAACAACGGGCUUGGAGGAACUAUCGGACCACACGACGUUGCCGGCGAGAGGGGGAAAGUGUUGGAGGGUGUGAGAGAGUGAAGUUUUGAGCUUUGGAACAACUUGAGUGAAGAAAAUGGAUGGGUUUGAAUGGGUUAUAGGGAGGGUAUAGAAGAAGAUGCGUUCGACAGGGUGAAACCUGAGCCAGAACAUGUCGAAGAAUACGAGAGGGAGGGAUGUUUGGGGUGCAGAGGGAGGAGCAACCCUGCACUGUUGGUGGAUUUUGAUGUUGUUGGAAGCCAUGUUGAGAAAGCAGAGAACUUGUGUUUCUUUCAAGAUUGGAACAAAUAAGGGUGAAGCUUUGGUUUUAUGGAGAAACUGUGUAUUCGUAAACCAACAAAUUUGCAAGCUGGGUUGAUUUCUGGAUCUGAAUUUGGUCCCAGAGUUAGAGUGUAAUAAUAUUCCAGAAUGUUUAGGCCCCCAGCCAGGUCAGUAAUUCUCAGUGCCCAAUAUUCUUUCCUAAAAGUUGAAUAUAAAAUUUAGAUAAUUCAAAUGCCCCACACAGUUCCCAAUAUUGUUGUGUUUUCUGUUUUUGUAAAAUUUUGAUUAAUCUUUAAUAAAAUAUUAUUAUUACUUUUUUUAUACUUAUUGUUAUAUUAUCUUUUAAUUGUGGUCUCUUAUUCAUAAAUAAAUUACACAAUAUCAUAUUUUUUCUAAAAAAAAAUUAUAUUGCAGUCAGAAACUGUAAUAUAAAUUCAUUUUCAUGUUUUGAUACGUAUAUUUUCAAUUGCACAUAUAUAAUAUAAUCAAAUACUAAAAUCCUUUCUCUUAUGCUUUGUUUGGACUUUUGAGUGCCGAAAGCAUCUUGAUUUAUGUGUUUUUCUUAAUUUUUUCCUUUGGUUUGCGAACUUUCCUUAAUGUACACCAAGUAUGCAUUUUUUCCACUCUUUUCAACUUCAAUAUGAAAUGAAGAGAAAGUAUAAGUGUUUAGGGUUUUUCUGUGUUUUUCUUAAUUUUUUGCAGAAAGUUUUGAGUGUCAAAAACAUCUUAAUUUCUUAAUUUCUGUGUUUUUCUUAAUUUUUUCAGAAAGUUUUGAGUGCCAAAAACAUCUUAAUUUCUGUGUUUUUCUUAAUUUUUUCCAGAAAGUUUUGAGUGCCAAAAACAUCUUAAUUUCUUUGUUUAUCUUAAUUUUUUCUUUGAUUUUCCACUUUGCUUGAUUUAUUGUAAGUAUGCGCUUUUCCAUGCUUUUUAACUCCCAAAUACAAACGGCCCUUAGUGAUAUUUAUGUAUAUUCACUAGUUGUUAAUUAAUUUAAAAUAUAUAAUAUUAUAUAUUAAUCCAAUCAGCGAUUCGAUUCCGUUACUGAUUUUAAACCGAAAGCCAAUUAAAUAGAUCAAAUACAAAAAAUUUAAAUUAAAAAAAAAAUCACCUUGAAAUUGUAUUUGACUUUUUACCAGUUUUUUAUUAUAGUUUGGAUUAACUUCAUCCUAAAUGUUCCUAAUUUUUUUUGCAACACAAAAGGGUAUCUCAAAAUAUAGUAUUUUUUAACAUUUUAUCUUUUUUCUUAUAUUUAUUUUCUUUUAUUAUAUUACUUACAAUUUUUUUUCUAUGUCUACCAUUUAAAUCUGGGAUAAACAUUUAUAUUUUUCUAAAAUAUGAAUAAAAGGCAGAAGGAUCGAUGAAUACAAUAAUUGACAUGGUAAAAUAAUAGAAAAAUGGUAUAAAUAAUGUUUAUAUAUAAUUAUUAAGGCAUAUAGAAUGACGUGAUGAUUAAAUUUUUUUUGUUGCUUUGAUCCUAGUUCCAUCCGAGACGGCAAGCAGAAAAAAUUGACCACAGCUUAGAAAUAAUAUUUGUUAAGUAAAAUUAAUUAUAAUAAUAAUAAUAAUAAUAUAUGUGAAUUUACAAAAGUGUUCUUUGCUAUUUUUCUAAUACGUUGAUAUUUUGUUAAAUUCUCUGUUUUUGGUGACAAGCAAAAGUUGACCUGUCUCUUCUUGUCGUGUUUUCUUUUUCUUCUAGAAAGUACAUAUUUCAACAUUUAUAGUAUUCUGUUUGGUGUGGGUAUUUUAGUAAAUUACCAGUUGGAAUUUCACGCGGUGACAAGUUAUUAAUCUGUACUCAACUAAACUAAAGAGGAAAUUGAAGUAGACGCAUAAUUUCCAUAUAUAUCAUUACUUAAUAUGUGUGGUGUUUUUAAUUGAGUUUACACUGUGAUAGAGAAAUAGAAUCACUAAAUGUGUAGUACAGCUCAAAAUAUCAAUUUAACCAAAUGAGAUUUAUAUGGAAAAAAAACCAUUAAUUCUUUACAAGGGACAAUAAGGAAUCGCAUUAAAAAAAAUCGAAAACAACUUUAAAAAAAAUAUUACUAGAAAAAAAAAAGAUGUUUAGAGCAAAAGGAAAAUAACUUAUUGAAUUAAAGUUAGAGACUACAAAAUAAAAUUUUUUUAGUUUACUUUUAAAAUGAAAAAAAAAGGUUGAAAGAUCUUUAAGAAAAAAAUUAAUAAAAAUGACUAUAACCUCUAUUAAGAAAUAUUUUACAAUGUCAAAAUAUUAUAUCAAAAAAAUUAAGAAAAAUGGGCUAUAUAUAGCCUUUAUUUAAAGAAUAUAAUUAAGUUAAAAUAUUGUGAUAAUUCAAAAUUAGAAGAAUUUCACUUUUAUGUUAUUUUUAUUGAGUGUGACGUUGAUAUCUUUCUCCAAAUUCAAUAUCAAAAUGAUUUUCUUUGAUGUGUCUUUUUAAUAAGAUUUUUUCUAAUAGAGCUCUUAGGAAUACGAAGUCCUUUUUUUCUUAACCAGAUAUUUAUCAUGUUUAAAAUACUCAUGAGGUGUAGUAUGAGAACAUAACAUGUCCAACAUCAUGUUCAUACAAUUCUUCCAUGCAUUCUAAGUCACAAAUUUUAGUUCCAAGAGUAGAUAAUAAAAAAUACACUAAACAUCAACAACCACAUUAGACUUAUAUUUUUCUCUGCUUUAUCACAUAGGUAAAUUAUUUAAAAAACUCAACCCACUUGAGAAAAAAAAAAAUUUAAAAAAAAGAAGAUAAUAUUGUGGUAUGCUUUAACUAAUAGAUAAAACUCAUUCUCACAUAUUAAAUAAUUAAGGGCAUCUUUGUAAUUAGAAAUAUUUGUCAUAUUGUGUAAUUAAAUACAAAGUUUUCAUUACCAAACAAUCAUUAAAUAAAAAUUAAUUUUAAAUACAAAAGAUACUUAGUUGUUAUAUUGACUAAAUUAGAAACUAUUUUAGAAAAAAAAAUAUUGGUUUUUAAAUUAAUUUUUAUUGUUGAUAAAUAAUUUUUAAAUUGAUAUCUAAUUAACUAUCAAAGUUUUGACUACUAAUUAUUUAGAUUCUAAAUUUGAUAACAAAAAUUUCGAUAGCUAAUUAAAUACCAAUUUAAAAAUUAUUUAUUAAUAAUAAAAAUUAAUUUAAAUAUCAAUAGUAAGUAAUUACUUUUUUUCUCUAAACUUUAUUUCAUGAUUUUCUUGUAUAUUACUAUUUAGAUAAAAAUAAGUAUUUUUGGAUUCAUUAUACGUUACUAGCAAUCUAAUAUUAAGUAAAUAAAAUUAAUAUUUCAUUAUUAAUAGUUUAAUAUAUAUAGUAAUAUAUAAUGAAAUUUCUUUAUUUCAUGUAUACUGACUUUUAAAAAAAAAAAUAUAUUCUAUAACUAGUUACUACAAGAAAAAAUCAAUUUAUCUACGGAAGAAAUAUGUAGACAACAACCAAAAUUCAUAGGUAAAUCAACAUUACCUACGAACUGUAGUCUAUAGGUAAUACUUCCUUAAAGAAUGUCAAGUUUUAAUCAUUGCACCAAUCAAGUUUUGUUGUCAUGUUAUGAUUAUUAUUAUACUUAUGAGUAUAAUUAUCAAUAUUAAUAUAAUUAAUAAAAUAAAAAUUAGUAACAUUAUUUAUAUAUUUAAUAUCAUUAUUAUUAUUAAUAUUGUUAAAUAUUUUUAAUAUUAUUAAAUAUUCAAAAUAUUCUUAAUAUUAUUAUAAAUUCUUAAUAUUAUUAAAUAUUCUUAAUAUUAAUAAAUAUUCUUAAAAUUAUUAUAUUUUCUUAGUAUUAUUAACUAUUAUUAAAUAUUAAAUAUUAUUAAUAUUAUUAAAUAUUAUUGAUAUUAAAUAUUAUCAAUAUUAUUAAAUAUUAUUAAAUAUUAUCAAUAUUAUUAAAUUAUCAAUAUUAUUAAAUAUUAUUAAUACUAUUAAAUAUUAUCAAUAUUAUUAAAUAUUAUCAAUAUUAUUAAAUAUUACUAAUAUUAUUAAAUAUUACUAAUAUUAUUAAUAUUAUUAAAUAUUAUUAAUAGUAUUAAAUAUUAUUGACAUUAUUAAAUAUUAUUAAUAGUAUUAAAUAUUAUUAAAUAUUAUUAAUAGUAUUAAAUAUUCCUAAUAUGAUUUAAUAUUAUUAAUAUUAUGAUUUUAUAAUUCUUCAUAUUAUAUUAAUAUUUUUAAUAUUAUGUAUAUAAUUAUUAUGAUAAUAGGUGGUAGGUAAUAGAGAUUUGUGAGUGAUAGUUCGUAGGUAAUAGAGAUUUGUAGGUAAUAAUUGGUAGGUAAUAGAGAUUCAUAGGUAAAAGUUAGUAGGUAAUAAGAUCCGUGGGUAAUAGUUGGUAGGUAAUGAAGAUUCGUAGGUAAAAAUUGGUAGGUAAUAAGAUCUGUGGAUAAUAGUUUGUAGGUAAUGCUGGAUUUACGUACGGAUUCAAAAUCUGUGAGUAAUGUCCGUAGGUAAUGUUGUUCGUAGGUAAUAUCCGUAGGUAAUUCUGAAUUUACCUACGGACUCAGAUUCGUGGGUAAAAAUCCGUAGAUAAUACGGAUUUUUUUGUAACGGUAAACAUUACUUGCAUAUUUAACUUGUUAUUUUAAUGUUUUUUAUAUGGAAAAAAUGAAAUCAAAUUAAAAUCUAUAAGAAUUUUCACAACUUCUAAUUCACUAUAAGAAAAACAUAAAAUAUAUAUAUAUAUAUCAAUUUUAGAGACAAAAAAUAAGUAGUUGUUAUAGUAACUAAAUUAAACACCAUUUUAUAAAUUAGUUUUUGUUAUUGUUAAAUGGUUUCUAAAUUGGUAUCUAAUUAUUAACCAAGGUUUUAAAGCAAAAAUCUGGGUUAAUAAUUAAAUACCAAUUUAGAAACAAUUUAACAAUAAUGGAAAUUAAUUUAGAAACCACAAAUUUUUUAGUCUCUAAUUUAGUCACUAUAACAACUAAUUAUUUUUUUUACUAAAAAUUAGUUUUUAUUUCAUAAUUUUGUUGAAAUAAUUAUAGUAUUUAAUAUGAAAAAUAAUAACUUUUUAAAACUGUAAAAAAGGUAAUAUACUGGAGCGAUAUCACUUAUAUUUUUGCUAGUAUAUCAUAUACCUAUUUUAAUAAAUGCAAUUUUAUUAAACUUGAGAAUCCUUUAAAAAUUAAAGUGAAUAAUUCACAAUAUAAAUUCACUUAAUAGUCUAGUACAUACAUAAUAAACUAAUAAUAAAAAUAACUCUAAACCUACGUAGAAUGACAAAGCUAAAGAAGAAGAAGAAAUCACACAAUUGAAAUAUAAACUAACUUCGAUUUAUAUUCGUAAUUAUAUAACUUAAAGUUUCUAAAUUUCGUUCUCACUUAAUUAAUAUUUGAAAUAACUCUAACUUAUAAUAAUAAAAACUACUUUAUAUAUAAAUGCUUUUUUAAUCAAUAAAAUAUAUAUAAUUUUUUUAAAAAAAUAAUUUUUAUUUAAUGAUUUAACUUUUAAUUUCCAUAGUUUAUGAAUGAAAUAUUCAUUUUUUUUAUCCUUUACUUUAAAUAUGUUCUUUUUAACUUUCCAUUACUGUCUCAAAUUGAAAUAAACAAGAGAAAAUUUAUUACAUGGAGAGGUUUAUAUGGUGGAAUAUUAUCGGUAAGAAAUAACAGGAAUUCAACUCAUUCAUAUUUUAUUGCAUAAACAUUUAAUUAACAACAGAAAUAAAAUAAAAAGAAUUGUCAGAAAUAUUCCCAAGUUCUUCUGCGUUAGAGCCAAUUAGUUCAUUUGUGCAUAGUUACCUGAUAUAAAAUAAACACUGGUCAAUUUUUAAUUAUUCUAUUAUUUAUUUUUGGGAACUAGGACAAGAGGAAUGGAAGUAAAAUAAAUAGAAAUGGAAAAUAUAAUAAUGAACUUGAUAAAAAAUUGUAAAAAAUUACCAGAGAAAUAAAUGGAAAAAAGUUCAAAUAUAAUAAAUACACAAAUAAAAAAUAGCAAAAGUGAAAUAGUUAUGAUUUAGUCAAAAUCUAUUUUUUACUUUUUAAUUCUUUUAAAAUAUAUCCAUUUUAAAAAAAGUCAUUCUUACUUCAAUUUUUAAACUAGAUUACACUUUAAAAAUUAGAGUGAGUUUUUUUCCCCUUAUUUUUUCAAUUUUCAAAUAAAAAUAAAAAACAAUAACCGAAUUCUAAUUAAUUUGUUAUACAGAGUGGAUAAAUUGAGAAUUCACCUUUCUGAAAAUUAAUUUCUCAAUAUAAUCAAUAAAUAAGUUUAAUUUAAAAAAAAAUUGAAAAUAAAUUUAUUUAAAUAAAAUAUUUUGAAAAAAAUCUUUAUCUUUUUCACUUUUAUUAAACUUUUAACCAAUUCUUAAUGUUCAGUACUUUUUCAGAGAGAAUCAGUGGUCCACUUAACAUUAUUAACUCAUGGAAAAAUCAUAAAAAUGAAAAUCCUCAUGAAAAACUAGAGAUACAUAUGAAAUAUUAUGUGUGACAAAGAUAAUAUAUAUAUAUAUAUAUAUAUAUAUAUUAUACAAGAAAAAAAUAUUUUAACGGUGUUUAUUUUUUUACAUUACAAAGGGUUAAAACUUCCAUUAAAUCAUUUAGUCAGGGUUGCAGUUUCCCGCACUAAAUCAUCAUUGGAGAACAUGUUAUCCAAGAUUUUUUUAAACAUCAGGAAAAACUUUUCAAACCUCCUUUAAAUUAUUAAGAACCUACGUAAAAUUCCAUAGGUUUCAAAACCUUAAUAAAAUACCAUGGGUUGUAGAACCUCCAUAAAAUACCAUAGGUUUCAAAAUUUCUGUAAAAUAUCAUAGGUUUUUAAAACCCCUGUAAAAUACAUGAGUUUCAAAAUCUCUGUAAAAUAUCAUAGGUUUCAAAACCUUCCUAAAAUAUCAUAGGUUUCAGAACUAUCAUAAAACAUCAUAGGUUUAAGAACUAUGAACAUUUGUUUUGUUAUUUAUUUAUCAUUUAAACAUUCGUGUGUUUUUUCAACCACAAUUAUUUACAUCUAUUGUAUUUAUUUAUCUAUACUUUUUAAAGUAAUUUUUUAAUAAAUAAAACAAAUAAAUAGAUAUAACAUUCAUAUAAAAUAUAUAAAGUAAACACAUUGAAAUUGAAACUCAAACACUUAUGAGUUAAAAAAACCAGUAUAAGAUGAAUAGUGCUAUGAAAUAUACAAAUGAAAACAUGCACAUUAUUCACAAAACACAAAAUAAGACAAAAAACAUAUCUACAUUAUACUAUAUUCUACAGGAAUCACAUAUGCUUAUUUUGAUGUCCAAAAUUUGUUGCCACACUUCUUUGAUUAAAAACUUACUAUAUAAACAUGUAUCAAUAUUAAAAAUGUAAAUAUAGAAAAUAAAACAAAUUUCUUAAGUUGUUUUAAAUAUUACCGACAAAAAAUUGGAUAUAGUUAACUUAGAACUUAGGAAGUAACUGACAUUGAUAAUUUAAAAAAAAAAUCAUCAUUAUAUCAAAUAUCUUUUUACAUUAUUCAUUGUUUGUUUUGUUCGAUCACUGUUUUUUUUAGUUCAUACAAAAUUAUUAGCCUAUUUCAAAAUUUUAAUUAUAUUCUGAAAUAUAUUAAUAAAUAUGCUCGUUGUUGUGAUGUAAUACAGUCAAGGAUUCUUAUCAAAAUUCCUACAAUUGUGAUUUGAAUACCUCUACAAUAAUAAAUAAUAUAACUUUCAUUCUAUUUUAUCACUAUUACUAUUUUUAUUUUUAACAAUUUAAAUGAUUAAGUUUUGUAUAGCUCGUAUUAUUCAGCUACUGAAUUUCUUAGAAUAAUAUUUUGAAUCAACCUUGCUAUUAAUAAUUUAAAUUCUUCACUAUAGAUAUAAAUAACUGUAAUUCACAUAAAAUAAAAGAUAAAUUGUAUAUUAUACAUAAACAUAAUUGUUUGGAUAUAUAAAAUCGUACAGUCCAUAUUAUAAUUAUAGUUAGAUAUUAUUCUCUAAUUAAGUUAAAAAAAUGUUUUUAAAAAAUAAUAUAUUUAAUAAAAUGUAAGUUUUAGAAAAAGUAAAACAUGUAGAAACGACUAAAUUAAGACAUCAGUCACUGUUUUUUUUUUAUAUUUAGAUUAUAAUUUAAUAAUUUUUGUUAAAAUUUAUUAUAAUGUAUAGAGAUAAAAAGAACAUAAUCAUAUUUUAUCAGAUACUAACGUGAUUUUCUACUCCAUUCCAGUGUUGAAUCACUCAUCUGAUAAUCCUCCAUAAAACAAAGUUGCAAAUAGUUUCAUCACAGGUUUCUUCAGAACAACCCCAACUUCAGCACCACCUUUGUUAUCUCUGUUCUCUGCCAAUCCAAUUGUUAGGGCUCUAUCGAUGGAUACUAUCUCCACCUUUGAAGGCUUACCCCAACCAAAAUCAUUCCCAUAAACCCCAAAACGGUUAGACCCUGCAAUUCCAAAGGUUUCAAAUCCCUCUUUUGCCAAAGUUAUAAAUCUACGAGCCGUAAUAUCUGCCCCAUGAAAAACACCCUCAUCUAACAUCUGUUUUAUUUUACUAUGAAUUCUUUUGGCAAUAAUAACAAACCCUUCUUCUUCUAUAAAUUCCGAUGGCUUUGCAUCCGCCAAAUGUCCCCACACACAGUUUCCAAAAUAGUUUUCAGGAAUUGGAGUCUGCAACCUGGACCUACAAUCCACACUGAACCCAAAACAAAACUUAUUUUUCUCCUUUUCAACUCCGUGCCAGGCCUUGGCAAUGCAAACCGUAGCAUAAGCACACGUUAGGACAAAAGUCGACAGUUUGGUUGGUUUUGAAGAAACCCCUGAGUUUGCGUUUGAUUCUUCUUCGACUAUGUCAACACUAUCCCACUUGGACAGCACCCUAUUCCUUAAUUUAUCCAAAUCUGCUCCCGUAAGCACGAACGACCCUCGAACAUGAUCUUCCAAUCUUGGAGGGAAAGGUAGAAGCUUUAGGCAUCUUGGGUCGCUGUCUUCACCAAACCAUUUUUUGGGAAGGGGCUUAUCAUUACUUGAUGAGCUUCCGAACACACUCACUGUUUCGAUGACUGUUCUGUCAAAGAAAGGCUCCAACUCUGGAGGCAAAGAUGGGGUUGAUGAUGAUGACUCAGAGUGAUCAUCAUUGGUUUUGCACAGAGAAGCCCAAGCUUUGAGGUGUACUGAACGACAGGCUUGGAGGAACUAUUGGGCCACACGACGUUGCCGGCGAGAGGGGAAAAGUGUUGGAGGGUGUGAGAGAGUGAAGUUUUGAGCUUUGGAACAACUUGAGUGAAGAAAAUGGAUGGGUUUGAAUGGGUUAUAGG
rnacentral:lncRNA from 1 species